rnacentral:rRNA from 1 species
AACGAACGCUGGCGGCAGGCUUAACACAUGCAAGUCGAACGCUCGUAGCAAUACGGGAGUGGCGGACGGGUGAGUAACGCGUGGGAACGUGCCCUGAGGUACGGAAUAACUGAGGGAAACUUCAGCUAAUACCGUAUGAGCCCCGAGAGGGGGAAAGAUUUAUCGCCUUGGGAGCGGCCCGCGUCGGAUUAGCUAGUUGGUGGGGUAACGGCCUACCAAGGCUUCGAUCCGUAGCUGGUCUGAGAGGACGAUCAGCCACACUGGGACUGAGACACGGCCCAGACUCCUACGGGAGGCAGCAGUGGGGAAUCUUGCGCAAUGGGGGGCAACCCUGACGCAGCCAUGCCGCGUGAACGAUGAAGGCCUUAGGGUUGUAAAGUUCUUUUACCCGUGACGAUGAUGACGGUAACGGGGGAAUAAGCUCCGGCUAACUUCGUGCCAGCAGCCGCGGUAAU